rnacentral:rRNA from 1 species
GUCCGGAAUCCCUGAGAGAUCAGGGAGUGCUCGAAAGAGAAUCGGAACACAGGUGCUGCAUGGCUGUCGUCAGCUCGUGUCGUGAGAUGUUGGGUUAAGUCCCGNAACGAGCGCAACCCUUGUCAUUAGUUGCUACAUUUAGUUGAGCACUCUAAUGAGACUGCCGGUGACAAACCGGAGGAAGGUGGGGAUGACGUCAAGUCCUCAUGGCCCUUAUGGGUAGGGCUUCACACGUCAUACAAUGGUACAUACAGAGGGCCGCCAACCCGCGAGGGGGAGCUAAUCCCAGAAAGUGUAUCGUAGUCCGGAUUGUAGUCUGCAACUCGACUACAUGAAGUUGGAAUCGCUAGUAAUCGCGGAUCAGCAUGUCGCGGUGAAUACGUUCCCGGGUCUUGUACACACCGCCCGUCACACCAUGGGAGCGGGUUUCACCAGAAGUGGGUAGCCUAACCGCAAGGAGGGCGCUCACCACGGUGGGAUUCGUGACUGGGGUGAAGUCGUAACAAGGUAAGCGUAGUGCU